rnacentral:tRNA from 1 species
GGGCCGGUGGUCUAGUACUGCCCUUUUUAUUUUAGAAAAAGAAAUUGAGGGCAAUGGAAAAUGGUUAUGACGCUGCCCUUACAAGGCAGAAACCGCAAGUUCAAUUCUUGCUCGGCCCA